rnacentral:lncRNA from 1 species
CUUUGAGCUAUGGAAUCACUAAACAUUAGCACCAAGAAUGGCCUUGAAAUAAGCUGAGAUCAACUCCUUCAUUUCACAGAUAAGGAAACUGAGAACAAGCAGAUAAAUUGCUCAGACACGGACACUCAGCCAAGUGAAGGCCCUGUUACAACUAAAUGGAUAAGGAGAUUGUACUUUAUUCUGCGUGUGAUCAGAGCUUACACAGGCAUUGAGAGGGGGAGCCAUAGCCAGUGAGUCAUGUUUCCAAACCAUCACCCUGGCUACUACAUAGCGAAUGAACUGUCAGACACCAAAAGGCCACUGUCAGGUGACUCAGAAGUUUAGGGAUUUACCCAGGAUGGUUAAAAUGAAGCUACUGAGAGAGACAGAGUUGCAUUAGUUUUUAAGAGUCUCAUCAACAGGAUUCAGCAAUGGUUCUUAAGGAAGGAGUGGAAAAAGGCAUCAGAGACCAGGUUCUAACUGCAUUUUAUGCUCCUGGAAUCUUGUCAUGGAUGCAUUUGAAAUUGUACAGCCAAGAGGAUACCUCAACCCAAACAAUCUCCAGAAUUUCAAAAUUUACAUGUGGGAAACAUAAUGAUUCAUCUCGAAAUUUGCAUAAACCUUGAAACCUUGGGAAGAAUAACCUAAAAACAACAAAGCAGUGCAGUAAAUGUUUGGGUUAUAAUAUUUGCAACUUGAGCAAUUACAGCCACACAUUCAUAUUUCCUACCACUGAACAUUGACAAAGGCCAUGCCCAGCACUGCUUGAUGAAACACACAGAGUUAGUGAUCAAAGGCAUCACUGCUCUCUUCAAGGGGAAAGAAUGUGGCAAAAUUAGGGCAUAUAUUCUGCAGAAAGAGCUUCCUGGUAUACUUUUCAUCAUCACUAUCCUUUGAACAUAUUAUCCACAGGAAGAGAAUGCUAACCUAUGAUAUUUUGGGUUAAACCACAGCAUUGAGCACACCAUUCAUUCCAGAGGAGUUUCUCCAUGCCAGUAUGUGUCUUCAAUGGCAGUCUCUAAGAGGCUAAAUAAAGAGGAUGAUGAUUACAUCUUACUUCUAAAAGGAUUUUUCUUGGCAUGGGGGUAUACUGGGAUUAUGAAAAACAAGGAAACAGAGAGUAGAGCCCCAGCAACAUGAUUAAUUAGUUCGGAGAGACUUCAGCUACACAGUUUUUUUUCAGUCAUCCAAAAUACUGGAAUUUGUCUAGAAACCACUCAGCUGAGACCAUCUCUUUUCCCUGGCACUGCCAGCAGUAAUAGUGACCCAAUCGUGGACACCAUGUCAAGCCUGAAAAUGAAAUCAGCAUUGCAGAAGGACAAGCCAAGAGAUGGGGGAAAAACUGAGUCUUGAUGGCAUUGCCUUAGGUCUUCAGUCAAGAGUUAUGUGAAGAGGAUGGGAUUAAGAUGGUGGAAUAGAAGGACUAGAGCUCAACUUCUCUCCUAAAAUCAACACAAUUCACAACUAAAGGCUGAACAAUCUUCAACCAAAUGGACCAGAAACUCUAAAAAAGAUAUCCUACUCCAGAAGAAAAAGAGGAGGCCACAUCAAGAGGUAGGAG